rnacentral:rRNA from 1 species
CCUACGGGAGGCAGCAGUGAGGAAUAUUGGUCAAUGGGCGAGAGCCUGAACCAGCCAAGUCGCGUGAGGGAGUACUGCCCUAUGGGUUGUAAACCUCUUUUGUCGGGGAGCAAAAGCCGGACGUGUCCGGCUGUUAGAGUACCCGAAGAAAAAGCAUCGGCUAACUCCGUGGCAGCAGCCGCGGUAAUACGGGGGAUGCGAGCGUUAUCCGGAUUUAUUGGGUUUAAAGGGUGCGCAGGCGGAUUGUUAAGGCAGCGGUAAAAUCGUGGGGCUCAACCCCAUCCAGCAGUUGAAACUGGGGAUCUAGAGUGUGCGAGAGGUAUGCGGAAGGCGUGGUGUAGCGGUGAAAUGCAUAGAUAUCACGCAGAACCCCGAUUGCGAAGGCAGCAUACUGGUGCACAACUGACGCUCAGGCACGAAAGCGUGGGUAUCGAACAGGAUUAGAUACCCGGGUAGUC